rnacentral:rRNA from 1 species
GAUGAACGCUAGCUACAGGCUUAACACAUGCAAGUCGAGGGGAAACGAUAUUGGAAGCUUGCUUCCGAUAGGCGUCGACCGGCGCACGGGUGAGUAACGCGUAUCCAACCUGCCCAUCACUUGGGGAUAACCUUGCGAAAGUAAGACUAAUACCCAAUGACGUCUCUAGAAGACAUCUGAAAGAGAUUAAAGAUUUAUCGGUUAUGGAUGGGGAUGCGUCUGAUUAGCUUGUUGGCGGGGUAACGGCCCACCAAAGCGACGAUCAGUAGGGGUUCUGAGAGGAAGGUCCCCCACAUUGGAACUGAGACACGGUCCAAACUCCUACGGGAGGCAGCAGUGAGGAAUAUUGGUCAAUGGACGAGAGUCUGAACCAGCCAAGUAGCGUGCAGGAUGACGGCCCUAUGGGUUGUAAACUGCUUUUAUAAGGGAAUAAAGUGAGUCUCGUGAGACUUUUUGCAUGUACCUUAUGAAUAAGGACCGGCUAAUUCCGUGCCAGCAGCCGCCGUAA